rnacentral:tRNA from 1 species
CCCCGAGUGGCGGAAAUGGUAUACGCUCUGAUUUCAAAAAUCAGUGAUUUUUAAAAUCAUAUGGGUUCAAAUCCCAUCUUGGGGA